UACGUAGGUGGCAAGCGUUAUCCGGAAUUAUUGGGCGUAAAGCGCGCGCAGGCGGUUUCUUAAGUCUGAUGUGAAAGCCCACGGCUCAACCGUGGAGGGUCAUUGGAAACUGGGGAACUUGAGUGCAGAAGAGAAAAGCGGAAUUCCACGUGUAGCGGUGAAAUGCGUAGAGAUGUGGAGGAACACCAGUGGCGAAGGCGGCUUUUUGGUCUGUAACUGACGCUGAGGCGCGACAGCGUGGGGAGCAAACAGG
rnacentral:rRNA from 1 species